GACGAACGCUGGCGGCGUGCUUAACACAUGCAAGUCGAACGGAAAGGCCCUGCUUUUGUGGGGUGCUCGAGUGGCGAACGGGUGAGUAACACGUGAGUAACCUGCCCUUGACUUUGGGAUAACUUCAGGAAACUGGGGCUAAUACCGGAUAGGAGCUCCUGCUGCAUGGUGGGGGGUGGAAAGUUUCGGCGGUUGGGGAUGGACUCGCGGCUUAUCAGCUUGUUGGUGGGGUAGUGGCUUACCAAGGCUUUGACGGGUAGCCGGCCUGAGAGGGUGACCGGCCACAAUGGGACUGAGGGACGGCCCAGAAGCCUACGUGAGGCAGCAGUGGGGAAUAUUGCACAAUGGGCGGAAGCCUGAUGCAGCGACGCCGCGUGCGGGAUGACGGCCUUCGGGUUGUAAACCGCUUUCGCCGGUGACGAAGCGUGAGUGACGGUAAUGGGUAAAGAAGCACCGGCUAACUACGUG
rnacentral:rRNA from 1 species